UACGAGGGGUGCAAGCGUUGCUCGGAUUCAUUGGGCGUAAAGGGUGCGUAGGCGGCGCGGUAAGUCGGGUGUGAAAUCUUGGAGCUUAACUCCGAAACUGCAUUCGAUACUGCCGUGCUUGAGGACUGGAGAGGAGACUGGAAUUUACGGUGUAGCGGUGAAAUGCGUAGAUAUCGUAAGGAAGACCAGUGGCGAAGGCGGGUCUCUGGACAGUUCCUGACGCUGAGGCACGAAGGCCAGGGGAGCAAACGGG
rnacentral:rRNA from 1 species